UCCUUGAUGAGGGAUUAGUACAUGACUCUCUAGACUUUGAUCAAUAUUUUCUAGAGGGGUAUUGUAAAGCAUCACCUUCGUGUGACUCCCAUGAUUCAGCUGAAGUUGUCACUGAUGUGGACAGCAACAGUAGUCCCUGUGAUGGGAGAAAUCUGAGGAAAUUGGUGACAAUGAUGACAUGCUUGGUGGUGUAUUUGCCUUCUCAGAGGAAGGUUGAUGUGAACCUUCUGGUGUCUGAUGCCACCUUCUCUUGCUUUCAGAAUGUUUAUGUAAUGAUUGGUCAAAGCUCAGCCUAAUGCAGGAUGAGAUUCUAAUGGACAAAAUGCAGUUUAUUUCCUUCCAACGAUUGAAUAGCUACCAACUAAUUGAUACAAGUGGGAUGGCAUGGCGGGAAGUUUACUAUUCUUGAGCUUCUUGUCAAUAAAAUGAUACUUCUACCCUGGUCCAAGCUAAAAGAAAUGAUACUCUUACCCUGGGAAGGUAAGGCCUUUUGAAGCAGACAUACUCUUCAAAUUUGGGGAAAAAAUCAUGCAUAUAAAUGGUAUGUUUACACAUUUGCUAGUAAAUAGCAGAACUCAAAAAGAUAUUACCAAUGUUAGUACAGUUAAAUGGUAAUUAUUUCCCUCGUGGGGAUUUUGGG